rnacentral:rRNA from 1 species
UACGUAGGGUGCGAGCGUUGUCCGGAAUUAUUGGGCGUAAAGAGCUUGUAGGCGGUCUGUCGCGUCUGCUGUGAAAAUCCGGGGCUCAACCCCGGACUUGCAGUGGGUACGGGCAGACUAGAGUGUGGUAGGGGAGACUGGAAUUCCUGGUGUAGCGGUGAAAUGCGCAGAUAUCAGGAGGAACACCAGUGGCGAAGGCGGUGCUCUGGGCCGGAACUGACGCUGAGGAGCGAAAGCGUGGGGAGCAAACAGG